rnacentral:rRNA from 1 species
GUCGUCAGCUCGUCCCGUGAGGUGUUAGGUUAAGUCCUAUAACGAGGGCAACCCCUGUUUUUAGUUGCCAGCACGUAAUGUUGGGAACUUUAACAAGACUUCCGGUGAAAACUGUGAGGAAGGGGGGGAUGAGGUCAAAUUAUCACGGCCCUUACGUCCUGGGCCACACACGUGGUACAAUAGGCGGUCCAGAGAGCAGCUACCUAGUGAUAGGAUGGGAAUCUAUAAAACCGUUCUCAGUUUGGAUCGGAGUUUGCAACUUGACUCCGUGAAGCUGGAAUUGCUAGUAAUAGGAUAUCACCCAUGAUCCGGGGAAUGGGUUCCCGGGCCUUGUAAACCCCGCCCGUCAAACCGUGGAAGCUGGGGUUACCAGAAGUCGGUGACCGCAAGGAGUUUCCUAGGGUAAAACUGGUAACUAGGGAUAAGUUUAAACAAGUAACUAGUACCGGAAGGAGCGCCUGGAACACCUCCUU